AGAGUUUGAUCAUGGCUCAGAACGAACGCUGGCGGCAGGCCUCAAACAUGCAAGUCUAGGGGGUGUAGCAAUACAUCACCGGCGGACGGGUGCGUAACGCGUGGGAAUAUACCUAUUGGUUCGGAACAACUGAGGGAAACUUCAGCUAAUACCGAAUGUGUCCUUACGGAGAAAGAUUUAUCGCCAAUGGAUUAGCCCGCGUUCGAUUAGCUAGUUGGUGGGGUAACGGCCCACCAAGGCGACGAUCGAUAGCUGUUCUGAGAGGAAGAUCAGCCACACUGGGACUGAGACACGGCCCAGACUCCUACGGGAGGCAGCAGUUGGGAAUCUUGGACAAUGGGGGAAACCCUGAUCCAGCCAUGCCGCGUGAGUGAUGAAGGCCUUCGGGUUGUAAAACUCUUUCGCGCACGACGAUAAUGACGGUAGUGCGAGAAGAAGCUCCGGCUAACUUCGUGCCAGCAGCCGCGGUAAUACGAAGGGGGCUAGCGUUGUUCGGAAUUACUGGGCGUAAAGCGCGCGCAGGCGGCUAUCCAAGUCAGUGGUGAAAGCCCGGAGCUCAACUCCGGAACUGCCAUUGAAACUGUUUAGCUGGAGUAUGAGAGAGGUGAGUGGAAUUCCCAGUGUAGAGGUGAAAUUCGUAGAUAUUGGGAAGAACACCGGUGGCGAAGGCGGCUCACUGGCUCAUUACUGACGCUCAGGCGCGACAGCGUGGGGAUCAAACAGGAUUAGAUACCCUAGUAGUCC
rnacentral:rRNA from 1 species